GAGUACGGUGGUACGGACAUGGCCCAUUGAGGGUGAAAGGCCCGCGGGGGUGGAGAUUCAGACUGGGCCAGUACAUUCCCUGGAGAGACCUKGGAGUCGGGUUGUUUGUGAAUGCAGCCCAAAGUGGGUGGUAAACUCCAUCCAAGGCUAAAUACUUGCACGAGUCCKAUAGCGAACAAGUACCGUGAGGGAAAGUUGAAAAGUACUCUGAAGAGAGAGUAAACAGUGCGUGAAGCCGCUCAAAGGUAAACGGAUGGAGUUGAACUGUGAGCUUCGGGGGUUCAGCUGGUGGCAUUGAUCGGGCUUGGACGAAUUUGUUGAGCCCUGUGGUCUGCAAAGUAGCAGGUCCUCGCCUUCGGGUGGGGAUGCGCGAUGCACUCGUUGAGUGUUGUGCGCCUCAGGUGUUCUCGGGCCGAGCUGCCAGUGCACUCCCUCGGAGCGGUCACCACGACCGGCACUGCUGUCUGUCUUUUGCGGUCAAACCGGCCGUGCAUUGUCCCCGUGGCUUUGUGCGGUCGGGACGGCAGGUAACUUGUUGGUUUGUUCGCAUUCCUUCGAGUGUAAUCAGCUGGCUGUAAUUUGACUGUGCAGUGUGUCGGAGACAUCGGCUUGAGGUGUCUGCGUGCGUGCCGAUCCUGCUGGCGUGUCCCAUGUCUGGUUGCUCAGUUGCUCACCUGGUGGGCCAAGCGGCGACUCGGAUACGUUCGGUGGGUGGUUGCGUGCGUGGCACUUUACUUGGGCCUAUAGUCUGUGGUGUUGCGGUAGACUAUCCAUCCGACCCGUCUUGAAACACGGACCAAGGAGAGUAACAUGUGCGCGAGUCAUUGGGCGUCACGAAACCCAAAGGCGCAGUGAAAGUAAAGGCUCGGUUUGCCGGGCUAAGGUGAGAUCUUGUCGUUUCCCACGCGCGGUACCACCAAGCAUCGAGCGGCAGGCGCAUCACCGGCCCGUCCCAUGGCGUUGGCUUUGGCUUGUCCAUUGCACAGUCGGGGCGGAGCAAGAGCGUACAUGUUGAGACCCGAAAGAUGGUGAACUAUGCUUGUGCAGGUUGAAGCCAGAGGAAACUCUGGUGGAGGACCGCAGCGAUUCUGACGUGCAAAUCGAUCGUCAGACAUGAGUAUAGGGGCGAAAGACUAAUCGAACCAUUUGGUAGCUGGUUCCCUCCGAAGUUUCCCUCAGGAUAGCUG
rnacentral:rRNA from 1 species